GUGUUGUGAAAAGCUACAGGAAAUGUGCUGACCACUUGGUCGUACUGAACAUGUAAAAAUAGAUGUUUUGCUGCAAGCAUUUUGGUACAGCAGAAUCAUCUGCCUCAAUUUCUCCAUACAGCUGCAGUUUAUGGAUCAAUCUCUUGAGUGAGUGUUCUAGUGCCAUGAAAGAAUAUCAUGUGGAAAAUGCCAGUGGAGCUAUAAACCUUUGAGUACCUGAGAGUGGGUGGAGACAGAACACUCUACCUCAGACAGUAAAGGAAGAGAAGAUGACUAGAGCAAACAGAAACACCAGUACUGAGAUGAAUGAAAGUUUUCAAAGAGAAAACAACAACAAAGAAAAAUGAAAAUGUAAGAAAAUGACUGCGAUUUGACUCAACGUUUUGUAAUAAUAAUCAUAAAAAGUACAGGUAUAUUAGUCAUAUCCUCUAAAGAGCUUCUUGUAAAGCAACUUCACCUCUUGUAAGUACUCCCAUGUGAUUAGUUUAAUAAGGAAUCUCUUCAUUUAAAAAUGAAUUUUUUAAAAGAAAGUACAUUUUUAGUGACCAGGAAAAUUGCUGAAUUAAUAGCUCUAAAACUUGAAGGCCGUCAUCUGUGCCUGAUCUUCAGAGAUGUUGAGUAUUAAAAAGUCCAUGUAAAAAACGUAACAGAGGAAAUUACUUCCAGAAUACUACAGCAAUUUCAUGGUUCUUAUGGUACCUAGAAAUUAUGGUACAUAUUUUUGAGAACAAUUUACUGGAAUUUUAUAUAUGAUUAACAAUAAACAGAUAUAGAGUAGUCCUGUAAUAAAGAGCACCUACACCUCC